rnacentral:rRNA from 1 species
GAGUUUGAUCCUGGCUCAGGACGAACGCUGGCGGCGUGCUUAACACAUGCAAGUCGAACGGAGUGCCUAUGAUAGAGACUUCGGUCAAUGGAUUAGGUUACUUAGUGGCGGACUGGUGAGUAACGCGUGAGGAACCUGCCUUUCAGAGGGGGACAACAGUUGGAAACGACUGCUAAUACCGCAUGACACAUCGAUGGGGCAUCCCGUUGAUGUCAAAGAUUUAUCGCUGAAAGAUGGCCUCGCGUCUGAUUAGAUAGUUGGCGGGGUAACGGCCCACCAAGUCGACGAUCAGUAGCCGGACUGAGAGGUUGACCGGCCACAUUGGGACUGAGAUACGGCCCAGACUCCUACGGGAGGCAGCAGUGGGGAAUAUUGGGCAAUGGACGCAAGUCUGACCCAGCAACGCCGCGUGAAGGAAGAAGGCUUUCGGGUUGUAAACUUCUUUUGUCAGGGAAGAGCAGAAGACGGUACCUGACGAAUAAGCCACGGCUAACUACGUGCCAGCAGCCGCGGUAAUACGUAGGUGGCAAGCGUUGUCCGGAUUUACUGGGUGUAAAGGGCGUGUAGCCGGGCCGACAAGUCAGAUGUGAAAUCCGCGGGCUUAACCCGCGAACUGCAUUUGAAACUGUUGGUCUUGAGUAUCGGAGAGGUAAUCGGAAUUCCUAGUGUAGCGGUGAAAUGCGUAGA